GACGAACGCUGGCGGCGUGCUUAACACAUGCAAGUCGAACGGAAAGGCCCUGCUUUUGUGGGGUGCUCGAGUGGCGAACGGGUGAGUAACACGUGAGUAACCUGCCCUUGACUUUGGGAUAACUUCAGGCAACUGGGGCUACUACCGGAUAGGAGCUCCUGCUGCAUGGUGGGGGUUGGAAAUUUUCGGCGGUUGGGGAUGGACGGGCGGCUUAUCAGCUUGUUGGUGGGGUAGUGGCUUACCAAGGGUUUGACGGGUAGCCGGCCUGAGAGGGUGACCGGCCACAAUGGGACUGAGAGACGGCCCAGAGUCCUACGGGAGGCAGCAGUGGGGAAUAUUGCACAAUGGGCGGAAGCCUGAUGCAGCAACGCCGCGUGCGGGAUGACGGCCUUCGGGUUGUAAACCGCUGUCGCCUGUGACGAAGCGUGAGUGACGGUAAUGGGUAAAGAAGCACCGGCUAACUACGUG
rnacentral:rRNA from 1 species